CUAGUGCUGCUGCCUUAUCCAGUCUUCAGCCUAAAAGUCAGUCUCAAGCUCUGCCUCCAAAACCAAAACCUGUCAAUCAGCCACCACAACAAAGGGGAACAAAACAGCUUGGCGAGAGACCUUAGUGAAAGUCAAGACAGACCAUCAACUGGAUCAAAGAGAUUGUGGUGUGUGUGUGUGCGCUGUGUUGAGAUACCAUUGUUGAGGAAGUGUUGCAUUUCAAGUUGCACAACUUGGCAUGCACAAAUGGGAAAAGAUGUGUACAAAGUUCUUGUGAGCAUCCGCUGUUGUUGAACAUGUUGGAUAUGCCAUUCCUGGUCCAACAUGGACAAAAAAUGGACACAGAAUUGGUUAAAGGCAAAGCUAAAAGGCCUACACUGGAUCAAAAAGAGAUUGUGGAGUGUGAUGUGAGCUGUGUUGAGAUACAAUUGUUGAGGAAGAUUUGCAGUUAGUUCAACAACUUGG